ACCUGGGUGGCUCAGUCGGUUAAGCAUCCGACUUUGGCUCAGGUUAUGAUCUCAUGGUUUGUGGGUUCAAACCCCACAUCAGGCU
rnacentral:tRNA from 1 species